rnacentral:rRNA from 1 species
CUUAGUAACUGCGAGUGAAGCGGCAAAAGCUCAAAUUUGAAAUCUGGCGUCUUCGACGUCCGAGUUGUAAUUUGGAGGGAUAUCUUCGGGGAUGGCGCCGUCCUAAGUUCCUUGGAACAGGACGUCAUAGAGGGUGAGAAUCCCGUGCCUGGAUGGCUGUCCAUCUCCAUGUGAAGUGUCUCCGACGAGUCGAGUUGUUUGGGAAUGCAGCUCAAAAUGGGUGGUAAAUUUCAUCUAAAGCUAAAUAUUGGCGAGAGACCGAUAGCGCACAAGUAGAGUGAUCGAAAGAUGAAAAGCACUUUGAAAAGAGAGUUAAAAAGUACGUGAAAUUGUUGAAAGGGAAGCGCUUGCGACCAGACUCGAUCUUUGGUGAUCAGCCGGGCUUCUGUCCGGUGCACUUGCCACUGAUCGGGCCAGCAUCGGUUCUGAGGGCGGGAUAAAAGGUUGGGGAACGUAGCUUCUCUCGGGGAGUGUUAUAGCCUCGAUCAUAAUGCCGCCACUUGGGACCGAGGACCGCGCUUCGGCUAGGA